UAGGGAAUCUUCGGCAAUGGACGAAAGUCUGACCGAGCAACGCCGCGUGAGUGAAGAAGGUUUUCGGAUCGUAAAACUCUGUUGUUAGAGAAGAACAAGGACGGUAGUAACUGAACGUCCCCUGACGGUAUCUAACCAGAAAGCCACGGCUAACUACGUGCCAGCAGCCGCGGUAAUACGUAGGUGGCAAGCGUUGUCCGGAUUUAUUGGGCGUAAAGCGAGCGCAGGCGGUUUCUUAAGUCUGAUGUGAAAGCCCCCGGCUCAACCGGGGAGGGUCAUUGGAAACUGGGAGCCUUGAGUGCAGAAGAGGAGAGUGGAAUUCCAUGUGUAGCGGUGAAAUGCGUAGAUAUAUGGAGGAACACCAGUGGCGAAGGCGGCUCUCUGGUCUGUAACUGACGCUGAGGCUCGAAAGCGUGGGGAGCAAACAGG
rnacentral:rRNA from 1 species